CACCAGCAAGGGGCGCGCGAGAUGAAACAGUUCUGUCCUGGGAUGUACCACCGAGGGUAGCGGAAAGACCACCCACUCUGGAAGGUACCAUUGGGAGAGGGCGUGUGACAACAGAGAGGGUCCCCUUACACCGCGUCGGGCAUGGACCACAGUUCCCAGCAGCGGCACUCAUGGCGCCACUAGGUCCAUCCCCACUCGCUCCUCUUCGUCUUCCCACUGCUUUUGAAUCCGAGUGGACACAGGACCAGCAGCCCAGUGUUGAGCAACCUCAACAAGAGGAACCGCCAGCUGAGAUUCAGAAUAUCACACCUGAAAAGGAGGAAGUAAAUGGAGAGGAUCCAGUGAAUCACAAUGAAGAGAAGGAGAAGGAUGCCUCUGGAGGUAAAGUGUAAGUGUGCAUCAUGUCUUAAGACAUAACCAGUAAGAGGAGGAAAGGAAACAUUAGAAAAGGACUUCAGACAGUUCCUAAAAAACUGAGGAGAGUAUAGUUCGCAGGUCAGUGUGGUUGCUCAAAUUUUCCCUUGUUUUCAAGACAAAGAGAAGGGGGCACCUAAGUUGUCUGAGGACAACCCUGGGAAAGGAAAAUGGUGAUAGCAUUCGGAAAAUUCUGCUUUCCUUUUUCUCCAGCAAAACAUUCCCAGAAUAAUGCUCUUGAGGUUCUCAUUCAGCACAUUUUUACCAUACUGGCCUAAGACUUUUAAUUCAUAAUACUGAGGGAAUCAAUAUCAUCAUUCCCUUGUUUAUAUUGUAUGCUUUACAGCUGAAUUGAUACUUUUUUUUUAAAGAUUCUGAUCUGGAAACUGAUCUCCAGGAAUUGGCUGAGGCAAAGACUGGGGGUAAAGGUGGAGAUGGUCCUGAUGUCAGGGAGGAGUUUGCAUCAAAUACAGAGCCUGUUGAAAUGCCAGAAGCAGGUACGUCAUCCAUUCAGAAAGUAAUUUAUGUGGUUUCUGUUUUUUCAGAAUAUUAUAUCUUUACUAAUAUAGAGGGAACACUACUAUUAUUUUAAUAACAGAGUUCACAUAUUCUUUGAAAGAUAGUUCAGACCCCAGAUGCCUGAGUGCCUGAUUUACAGACUUUCAAAUAAAGAAACAGACAUGAUCA
rnacentral:lncRNA from 1 species